rnacentral:piRNA from 1 species
UUCCUGAUGGCACCACAAAGGGGC